rnacentral:rRNA from 1 species
GGGAAGAGGAAACCAUGCUGGAUAUCAUGGGAUAUAUGUACUAAACCAAAGUAUUUGGGAGGACUUGGCUUUCGAGAUAUUGAUCUCUUUAACCUCUCUUUACUGGCUAGACAAGCAUGGCGAAUUAUACAAACUCCCUCUACAUUAAGUGCCAGGAAAUUGCAAGCUAAGUAUUUCCCUGCUUCGUCCUUUCUUGAAGUCGAGCUAGGCGGUCGGCCCUCGCAAAUCUGGAGAUCUAUUAUGGAAGGGAGAGGAGCUCUAGAACAGGGCUUGAUUCGGAGGAUUGGAACGGGAGAGGAUACUCGAAUCUGGGACCAAAACUGGAUCCCCCGUUCGGGCGUAAUGAGACCAUUGGCGUGUUUGGCCAGUUUAUUAAUUUAUCAAUAG